ACGCUCGACACCUACGGGAGACAGCAGUGGGGAAUAUUGCACAAUGGGGGAAACCCUGAUGCAGCAACGCCGCGUGAAGGAAGACGGUUUUCGGAUUGUAAACUUCUGUUCUUAGUGAAGAUAGUGACGGUAGCUAAGGAGCAAGCCACGGCUAACUACGUGCGAGCAGCCGCGGUAAUCUGAGCGGGCUGGCAAGGC
rnacentral:rRNA from 1 species